rnacentral:rRNA from 1 species
CAUUACACAAAUAUGAAGGCGGGCUGGAACCUCUCGGGGUUACAGCCUUGCUGAAUUAUUCACCCUUGUCUUUUGCGUACUUCUUGUUUCCUUGGUGGGUUCGCCCACCACUAGGACAAACAUAAACCUUUUGUAAUUGCAAUCAGCGUCAGUAACAAAUUAAUAAUUACAACUUUCAACAACGGAUCUCUUGGUUCUGGCAUCGAUGAAGAACGCAGCGAAAUGCGAUAAGUAGUGUGAAUUGCAGAAUUCAGUGAAUCAUCGAAUCUUUGAACGCACAUUGCGCCCUUUGGUAUUCCAAAGGGCAUGCCUGUUCGAGCGUCAUUUGUACCCUCAAGCUUUGCUUGGUGUUGGGCGUCUUGUCUCUAGCUUUGCUGGAGACUCGCCUUAAAGUAAUUGGCAGCCGGCCUACUGGUUUCGGAGCGCAGCACAAGUCGCACUCUCUAUCAGCAAAGGUCUAGCAUCCAUUAAGCCUUUUUUUUCAACUUUUGACCUCGGAUCAGGUAGGGAUACCCGCUGAACUUAAGCAUAUCAAUAAGCGGAGGA